rnacentral:rRNA from 1 species
UACGAAGGGGGCGAGCGUUGUUCGGAUUUACUGGGCGUAAAGGGCGCGCAGGCGGCCAACUAAGUCACACGUGAAAUCCCCAGGCUCAACCUGGGAACUGCGUGUGAUACUGGAUGGCUUGAAUUCGGGAGAGGGAUGCAGAAUUCCAGGUGUAGCGGUGAAAUGCGUAGAUAUCUGGAGGAACACCGGUGGCGAAGGCGGCAUCCUGGACCGAGAUUGACGCUGAGGCGCGAAAGCUAGGGGAGCAAACGGG